UACAUAGGGGCCUAGCGUUAUCCGGAUUUACUGGGCGUAAAGAGCGUGUAGGUGGUUAAUUAAGUCAGGUGUUAAAUUUGAAAGCUUAACUUUCAUCCGCGCCUGAAACUGAUUAGCUUCGAGGGUUGGAGAGGGAAGCGGAACUCACAGUGUAGCGGUGAAAUGCGUAGAUAUUGUGAGGAACACCAAUGGCGAAGGCAGCUUCCUGGCCAACAUCUGACACUAAAGCGCGAAAGCAUGGGGAG
rnacentral:rRNA from 1 species